rnacentral:misc_RNA from 1 species
UCCGAGUUGUCCCCGGCAGUCUCCUUAGAGUCCCCACCAUUACGUGCUGGCAACUAAGGACAGGGGUUGCGCUCGUUGCGGCACUUAAGCCAACACCUCACGGCACGAGCUGACGACAGCCAUGCAGCACCUGUGCUGGCCCCUUACGGACACGGGCUUUCACCCGCUUUAACUAGCAUGUCAAGCCUAGGUAAGGUGGGGAUGACGUUUAGGAGCUCGAC